rnacentral:rRNA from 1 species
CCUACGGGAGGCAGCAGUGGGGAAUAUUGGGCAAUGGAGGAAACUCUGACCCAGCAAUGCCGCGUGAAUGAAGAAGGUCUUCGGAUUGUAAAGUUCUUUAGUCAGGGAAGAAUAAAAUGACGGUACCUGAAGAAUAAGCUCCGGCUAACUACGUGCCAGCAGCCGCGGUAAUACGUAGGGAGCAAGCGUUGUUCGGAAUGACUGGGCGUAAAGGGUGCGUAGGCGGUUAUACAAGUUAGAAGGGAAAUACCCAGGGCUUAACUGGCGUGCUGCUUGUAAAACUGUAAGACUUGAGUGCAGUAGAGGGUAGUGGAAUGCCUAGUGUAGCGGUGAAAUGCAUAGAUAUCACGAGGAACCCCGAUUGCGAAGGCAGCCUGCCGGGGUGCGACUGACGCUGAGGCUCGAAGGUGCGGGUAUCAAACAGGAUUAGAUACCCUAGUAGUC